UUUGAUCAGGGUUUUUUUCUGUGAAUUAUCUUUCUCACCGAGGGUGUUACACAGACGCCAUCUGCAAUUGACCUACUGAGGGUUAGGAGACGAAUCGAUGAUUCAGGAGCUUUGUUUGCACUGCGCUUGAGCAAGGUUACCCUGCCUUAUUGAACGAUACCCCCACGACGGAGAGGAGUUUCUCAAGAACAUCCAACGGAAUACCACUGUGACUGGAUCUUGAAUGUAGCUUAACCGUCAGUUCAUUUAACCUGCAGCUUGGUGCUAUGGGAGACAGUGCAUAUAGAUGGAAUACAGUAGAGCACUUCUAGUUGAAUUGGAUUUCUACCGCUAGAGGGCGGCAAGGGAGAGAGGAGAGCGUGACACAUGGUGUAAUGCAGCAUUAUCGCCUUGGAUAUUUCCAGCCUUUAAUGGCGCUUUAAUCAGCUUCAUUUCCGAAGUGGUCCCCCGCUUCUGGGUUCAUGCAGUACCUUGGGUUGCGGUCAAGCUUAGCGGGCAAGCUCUAUUUUUACAAAGAACUGUAAGUAGACAAGUUGACCUCAUAAGCGUACCUUAUGAGCGUGGCGUGUGUGGGCUAAUGUUAUGUAUGAACGCAUGAAGGGCUGAGUCAUACUGAGGACCCUCUCUCUGGGUUUCCCCCUGUCUGCCUUGCUCCUCCCCCCUCCCCUGUGCUGCAGGAACAAGAUCCAACAGCCAGCCUGCUUCUGGUGGCCUGCAAGAACAUGCCUUGACUUGUACUGCCUCACAGCCAGAGAUAGAGGGAGAGAGAGAUAUUGAAUGAGUGUGAGUGACAGAGGUAGAGAGAAAGAGAGAGAAGGAGAGAAAGAGAGGGUUGUGGUAUCAGGCCAGCAUGCGGUGACCCACUGAAGAUAACGGUCCUGUUGAUUUAUAAACAUGUAUACACAUUUUGUUUUUUAUAUACAGGAGUCAAUGCCAAGGACCACUGGCUCAACUGGAGUGGAGCCAAAAUGGGAGACAGAUGGAUCCAGAUUUCUCCAGCACCUCAGUGUUUGGUAAGUCUGAUUCUGUAUCUGUUGUCCAAUAAUUUAGAUACAACACAGGACUUUGGAAGAGCGUGUCUAGUAGUUUUAAUUUAACGUGGGGUAAAAAACAUGAUUCAGCUUUGUGCUUAAUAUAAAAGGACUCUGGUCUACGUUGCAUUUUGGAUAAGCUCAGCUGAACUGAUUUAUUUAUAUAGCGACAGUUAAAUGGUGUUUUGUUCAGCAGGACAAUCCACUAAGAUUGUGGAGGCGUACACAAUACUGCUUCGAUUACAGCAUAGUAAAACACACAAACACAAACACACACACACACACACACACACACACACACACACACACACACACACACACACACACACACACAUACGUGCCUUAUUAUAACAUAAUUAUAUGAAUAAGCUAAUAACAUAUAAUAAUAUGAUUUUUUUCUAUUCUGACCAGUGGUGAAAGCCUGUUUCUAUCCAAGCCGGAUAGACUUCUUCUGCUGAAGCACACACAAGGCCCGGCUCCCGUUUAGUCCAACGCAACUGGAAUCGAGAAUAUCCCACAUGGCUGAAUGUGGACAAUAUUAGCAUAAAACUGUCAGCAAACAAGACCUUUAAGCAUAAAUGGAUGGUGCUAGACUUGCCUACUGUGGGUGUUUCUCUGGCAGUGUCUUAGCUGGUUGUUGUGAGGAGUGAGAACGAAGCAAUCAGCAAGUAUACUGCCGCAGAAACUCUCGCGAUAUAUGGGCCCUGGAACGGGAGGAAGAGCCAAAGACAAUGGGCCCAAACAAGCGGAACAAGAACAUGUCUUUCAAUUCUCUUACGAAACAAAUAUACUUUUACUAUGAAUGAUGGAUCUGCCACCAUAACGUAACAGGGUCCGUUUUCAGCCUCUAUUGACCAUGUGAUCGGACGUCAGUAAAAUUAUAUGUUUUAAUGCAAUACUGACAUCUGGUGGUAAGUAAAAACACAACGCUUACUAGUAUGCUGGAGAGCAGCAAAAGCCACUGCCACUUUAAAAUUGUGGCAUUAGUAUUGUACACUUGUAAAAAUCCUGAAUGUAAUAAAAUUAAGUAAAAUGCAAGACUUUUUCUUUUUUAUUGUUAAGUGCUUGAGCAUUCAGAACAAUGAUAAAGCACAAAGGUAAUGCUGUCAUUCAUGCUGAUAACAAUGAUGAUAAUAAUUAUUAUAAACUAAGCUAUUCUUGCUGUUAUUAUUGUAAGUUGUAGCAUUGAUAGUAGCAAUUAGUAGUAGUAUUGUGGCGGGCUAUACUUUUACAUUCAAUACAAAAUAUAACAUAUUAUAGAUUACCUUAUAUAGCCUACUGUAUAUGUAUAAACUUCUAAAAUCUGGAAUGCACACGACAUAAACUGGAAAUGUCCGUAUAGUGACUGUAACUGUAAGUAAGCUACAUUUACACGAUGAAGAGUUAUUUUUGUAAUUUUUGUCAACUUCCUCUCAGAAACCAUUGCUGUAGUUUAUUCGUAUGGUUUGUUGCGGCCAAUAAUAGAGGCAGCGAUAUGAAGUUGUUGUCAAUACCUGGCUAUGGAGGUGGCCCAAAAUAAUCCAUCUGCGAACCAUUGAGGCGUUAUUUAAAAUGCCAAUAGUCAAUAUUAAAUAUAAAAUAUAAAUAGAUAAAAAGUUUUCUAUAGGAAAUACAGAAAUAUUGAUAUGAAAUACAACCGGAAACAGGCAAUACAUAUAUAAAUGAAUGAACAUAUGAAUAUAUAAAUGAGUCAAAACAAUGAAUCAAUAAAUAACAUUUUAUAAUAUCUCAUAUCGCUCAGAGCUACAGCACCCUGGAACAGCACAGAAACGCUGAAUAUACAGCAGCCCUGAUUAUACGAUGAUCCGCAAACUUUCUAGAGCAGUCUUUCCCAAAGACUGGGUCGCGACCCACAUGUGGAUCGCGGGAGAUUUCAAUUGGGUCGCCAAAUUAAUGCAAAAUUAAAAAUAAAAAAAAAGUUUUAGUAAAAUUUUUACACAUUGCAUUUUUAGCGUUUUUUGAUCGUACUGAAUGUUUGAAUUGUUCUUAUAAAUGUACUUAUAACAUUGAAUCUAGUCGAAAGUCUAAUGAACAUUGUGUUUGUUUUACUGAUGAGAGGAAAUAAAAACAAUGGGAUAGCCAAAACAAAGUGACAUUAA